rnacentral:rRNA from 1 species
CCUACGGAGGCUGCAGUGGGGAAUAUUGGACAAUGGGCGAAAGCCUGAUCCAGCCAUGCCGCGUGUGUGAAGAAGGCCUUCGGGUUGUAAAGCACUUUCAGUGGGGAAGAAAGCCUUGGGGCUAAUACCCUCGAGGAAGGACAUCACCCACAGAAGAAGCACCGGCUAACUCCGUGCCAGCAGCCGCGGUAAUACGGAGGGUGCGAGCGUUAAUCGGAAUUACUGGGCGUAAAGCGCGCGUAGGCGGUCUGAUAAGCCGGUUGUGAAAGCCCCGGGCUCAACCUGGGAACGGCAUCCGGAACUGUCAGGCUAGAGUGCAGGAGAGGAAGGUAGAAUUCCCGGUGUAGCAGUGAAAUGCGUAGAGAUCGGGAGGAAUACCAGUGGCGAAGGCGGCCUUCUGGACUGACACUGACGCUGAGGUGCGAAAGCGUGGGUAGCAAACAGGAUUAGAUACCCGAGUAGUC